rnacentral:rRNA from 1 species
UGGGGAAUUUUGGACAAUGGGCGAAAGCCUGAUCCAGCAAUGCCGCGUGUGUGAAGAAGGCCUUCGGGUUGUAAAGCACUUUUGUCCGGAAAGAAAUCCUCUGGGUUAAUACCUCGGGGGGAUGACGGUACCGGAAGAAUAAGCACCGGCUAACUACGUGCCAGCAGCCGCGGUAAUACGUAGGGUGCAAGCGUUAAUCGGAAUUACUGGGCGUAAAGCGUGCGCAGGCGGUUUUGUAAGACGGAUGUGAAAUCCCCGGGCUUAACCUGGGAACUGCAUUCGUGACUGCAAGGCUAGAGUAUGGCAGAGGGGGGUAGAAUUCCACGUGUAGCAGUGAAAUGCGUAGAGAUGUGGAGGAAUACCGAUGGCGAAGGCAGCCCCCUGGGCCAAUACUGACGCCCAUGCACGAAAGCGUGGGGGAGCAAACAGGAUUAGAUACCCUGGUAGUCCACGCCCUAAACGAUGUCAACUAGUUGUUGGGGAUUCAUUUCCUUAGUAACGUAGCUAACGCGUGAAGUUGACCGCCUGGGGAGUACGGCCGCAAGAUUAAAACUCAAAGGAAUUGACGGGGUCAUAGCUG